UACGGAGGUGGCAAGCGUUGUUCGGAAUCACUGGGCGUAAAGGGCGCGUAGGCGGUUUCGUAAGUCCUGUGUGAAAUCCCCCGGCUCAACUGGGGAACUGCACAGGAAACUGCGAGGCUUGAGUUCGGGAGAGGGAAGCGGAAUUCCGGGUGUAGCGGUGAAAUGCGUAGAUAUCCGGAGGAACACCGGUGGCGAAGGCGGGAUCCUGGGCCAGUACUGACGCUGAGGAGCGAAAGCGUGGGGAGCAAACAGG
rnacentral:rRNA from 1 species